GACGAACGCUGGCGGCGUGCUUAACACAUGCAAGUCGAACGGAAAGGCCCUGCUUUUGUGGGGUGCUCGAGUGGCGAACGGGUGAGUAACACGUGAGUAACCUGCCCUUGACUUUGGGAUAACUUCAGGAAACUGGGGCUAAUACCGGAUAGGAGCUCCUGCUGCAUGGUGGGGGUUGGAAAGUUUCGGCGGUUGGGGAUGGACUCGCGGCUUAUCAGCUUGUUGGUGGGGUAGUGGCUUACCAAGGCUGUGACGGGUAGCCGGCCUGAGAGGGUGACCGGCGACCAUGGGACUGAGAGACGGCGCAGAGUCGUACGUGAGGCAGUAGUGGGGAAUAUUGCCCAGUGGGCGGAAGCCUGAUACAGCAACGCCCCGUGCGGGAUGACGGCCUUCGGGGUGUAAACCGCUUUCGCCUGUGACGCAGCGUGAGUGACGGUAAUGAGUAAAGAAGCACCGGCUAACUACGUG
rnacentral:rRNA from 1 species